rnacentral:rRNA from 1 species
CACGUAGGGCGCAAGCGUUGUCCGGAAUUAUUGGGCGUAAAGAGCUCGUAGGCGGUUUGUCGCGUCUGCUGUGAAAACCUAAGGCUCAACCUUGGGCUUGCAGUGGGUACGGGCAGACUAGAGUGCGGUAGGGGUGACUGGAAUUCCUGGUGUAGCGGUGGAAUGCGCAGAUAUCAGGAGGAACACCGGUGGCGAAGGCGGGUCUCUGGGCCGAUACUGACGCUGAGGAGCGAAAGCGUGGGGAGCGAACAGG